GUCAGUAGUCAUGUUCCAGAGCAAGUAGAGGAGACAAAGGCAGCUUCCAGCCAGGAUCAUGGAACACGAAUGUGGUUGCAAUGUGAAGCUUGAAGGUAACCUUCCAUUGGCAUCCACAAACAUUUUGAACCCCCAGCAUGCACAGAUGAUCCUCCUCAGAUUCUAGGACUGCUGUAUUUGGAGGCAUGAUGGAGUAGAUACUGAAGGAAAGAAGAAGAGACAUGUACCAUAACAAGAACAUGCUGUGAAGAAGCAGAAAAAAAAGCUGUGAACUAGGGACUCUUCACGCACAGUAAACCCUGGCCGCGGUCGGACAUCGUCAAAGCAGAGAUAUGUAAUCCGUAUAGAAGAGUACGCNCAGUGAAUUCAUCCUUUGGUCGUCCUCUGGUCGUUCCCACAGUUACAAUUUAUCACGGAGUCAAUUCGUACUUGCUCGUUCCCACACUGAUAUUUCCCGUGCCUCCACCCCUCGUCAAAAUCUCCUCCCUAUGCAGUCAGCGAUUGGCUGCGUCAAAAUCUCCUCCCUAUGCAGUCAGCGAUUGGUUGCAGUCCCAACGUUCAAAUCUUGAC
rnacentral:lncRNA from 1 species